UGCACGUGGGGGUCACACAGGGAGUCAAAAACACCAACCCCGGUGCUGGACCCCGGACCCCGAAAAUCUCCGAGAACGGGGCAUGAGCUCUGACUUUGAAGCCCCCCAGGAUUCUAAAGCAGAUGCUGGGGCAGGAAGAUGGAAAGAACGUGGGUGCUCAAUGAUGUCCAUCCUUGACCACGGAAACUGAGAACCCCAAAGCUGCUCCGUCUCAGGACUUCCCCCUUUUGUGGAAAUAAUAAAUGUCUUCAUUGUUAAACGGC